UUCGCUUUUGAGAAAGUAGUCAUGUUGGGAGUCUGGCUCUCGAGAUUCGGAGGACGGUGCCUCUUCGAUUUUGGAGCAAGCAAUCUUAUUGGGAGUGUUGUCUCGAAUGUGAGUAAAGGUUGGGCAUGUUUGCUAGUCUACCUUGCCACGAAGCACAAAGGUUGACACACAGAGACUUUCCAAUUAUCCAGCAGUGGUACUGUUCCUUUACCCUCUCUUCGCUUUUGAGAAAGUAGUCAUGUUGGGAGUCUGGCUCUCGAGAUUCGGAGGACGGUGCCUCUUCGAUUUUGGAGCAAGCAAUCUUGUUGGGAGUGUUUUCUCGAAAGUGAGUAAAGGUUGGGCAUGUUUGCUAGUCUACCUUGCCACGAAGCACAGAGGUUGACACACAGGGACUUUCCAAUUAUCCAGCAGUGGUACUGUUCCUUUACCCUUGUGGGUAAUAAUAUGGUAGCUAGACCUUCAAAAUUUAUGUGUCUAAACUUUGUUAGUGCUGUUUCUUUGCUAUUCUUUUACCUUUCUUGGUCAGAGCGAUGUGUAGUGGGAGCUGCAAGCUUCACGUGCUCAACUUUGGCAGAGAACUUUGGCAAAGUUAUCUGUGGUACCCAUGAGCUAUUGUUGCGUGUGGGAAGUGGGUGAUUGAACAGUAAGAUUCAUGUGCUUUCUACUUCACCAGAAGUCUUCGACAGAAUGCCCAUAAUUUCUGCAAAGCUGAGUGUGCGUGUGACAGGUGCUGACAAGGCUAGAAAAGUAGGUGCCUCUUCGAUUUCUGAGAUCGGCCCUCGUGGUCUCUGAGCAGCCCAGCUUUUGAGAAAGCGAGCGCCUCUUCGAUUGAUUCGGAGAACGAUGCCUCAUCGAUUUUUGAGAAAGCAAUCAUGCUGGGGGUCUGGCUCUCGAGGAUUCGGGGAGCAGUGUCUCUUCGAUUUUUGAGAAAGUAAUCACGUUGGGAGUCUGGCUCUCGAGAUUCGGAGGGCGGUGCCUCUUCGAUUUUGGAGCAAGCAAUCUUGUUGGAAGUGUUUUCUUGAAUGUGAGUAAAGGUUGGGCAUGUUCGCUAGUCUACCUUGCCACGAAGCACAGAGGUUGACACACAGGGACUUUCCAAUUAUCCAGCAAUGGUACUGUUCCUUUACCCUCUCUUCGAUUUUUAAGAAAGUAGUCAUGUUGGGAGUCUGGCUCUCGAGAUUCGGAGGACGGUGCCUCUUCGAUUUUGGAGCAAGCAAUCUUAUUGGGAGUGUUUUCUCGAAUGUGAGUAAAGGUUGGGCAUGUUUGCUAGUCUACCUUGCCACGAAGCACAGAGGUUGACACACAGGGACUUUCCAAUUAUCCAGC
rnacentral:lncRNA from 1 species